AGUAAUUACAGCGGGGUGCUGCAGCCGAGAUCCCGGGGGUUCCCAGCAGCGGAUAGUGGAUAAGACGUCUGGGAGGGGAGUACCCCUUUAAGGAGUCAAAGCAUUGGCCAUGCAGAUCACUUAUCCCACCGUAUUUGUCUACUCGCGUGUGAAGAUGGAUGAGCGUUAGAGAACACCAGCUGGCAAGUCCUUCAGACAAUGCAAAAAUAAUAUCAACAAAGCCGGAAAAAUAAACUAGCUCUUGUCUUGAAAUUUACUAGGAAACAUCUGCCGUUACUGAGCUGUCUGGGGAUAUUAAUAGGAAAAGCACUUUUGUCUGGAAAUGGAGCUGUGUUCUAUCCAUUUUAUCAGCCGCCAUGAUCAAAAAUUCAUCUGUUUCGGUUCUUGUUUCAAUCUUGUUGAAAAUACUUAUCUGAUCAUAUCAGAUAUAUCUGGA